GACGGGGGAUGCAAGCGUUAUACGGAAUCACUGGGCGUAAAGCGUCUGCAGGUGGUGAUGCAAGUCACUGGUGCAAAACUCUGGCUCAACCGGAGGAAAGCCAGUGAAACUGCAUGACUAGAGUGUGGGAGAGGUAGAAGGAAUUCCCUGAGUAGCGGUGAAAUGCGUAGAUACAGGGAAGAACACCGGAGGCGAAAGCGUUCUACUGGAACACAACUGACACUGAGAGACGAAAGAUAGGGGAGCGAAUGGG
rnacentral:rRNA from 1 species